rnacentral:sRNA from 1 species
GAAGAAGAGGAACUGGGCCUGGAAGGGCCCCGGUAACCACUACUGCUGCCGGUGUUUGCGGGUGGCAGGGAGCCAGGCCUGGCGAGCGGGGUGUGUCGCGAUGCCGGAGCUGGCGGUGCAGAAGGUGGUGGUCCACCCCCUGGUGCUGCUCAGUGUGGUGGAUCAUUUCAACCGAAUCGGCAAGGUUGGAAACCAGAAGCGUGUUGUUGGUGUGCUUUUGGGGUCAUGGCAAAAGAAAGUACUUGAUGUAUCGAACAGUUUUGCAGGUAAAAGACAAAUUUUGUGUUUUUCCGAGCAUGACUGAAAUGUCAGUUAACUCUUUAAAAAUAUAAACCUUUGUUACCACUUUUGACUACAGCCCAGAGAUUGUCUUAAAAUUGCUGAAGUAUAGAAAAGAGAACCUGAAGAUUGCACACUAGACCAGACAGUAAAUAUUUUAAACUUGCAGGCCAUGUGGUCUCCACUGCACCUGCUCCUCUCUGCCAUUAUAGUGCAAGAGCUGCUAUAGACAACAUGUAAGCAAACAAAAGUGGCAGU